UACGCUUUAAUUCGGCAAAAUUGCCUGUAUACGUAGGCCCGACUCUGGGGCUGCUAAAAUUACGGACACGUCAAAGACCCAUUGGAGGUACGCUCCCCGCGGUACUUUUUACACGACCGUUACAACGGUCAACUACACAUUUCGUUUAGGCGCAAUUUUUGUAAGUAAAUAUAAUUUAAAACAAAAAAUUGACCGAAAAUACAUUGAGUUAUUUAAUUUGUGUCUGUACCCAACGAUAAACGAUUGCGAACGAAAAAUGAUUCAGAGCAAAAUCCGAUAAGACGGUUUAUGUUUUCAAUGUAGUUUCUCCGUAAAAUUGAGCAAGUCCAGAAUAAACGCCCGAAGUGUUUUU